CAAUAGCGUAUAUUAAAGUUGUUGCGGUAAAAAGGCUCGUAGUUGGAUUUCUGUUGAAAACAAGCGGUCUACUCAACGAGUACGCAUCUGCUUUGGUUUCGGCAUCCUCUCGAAAGACGUUUUGCGCUUGAUUGCGUGAAGCGGAUUCCGGGACUUUUACUUUGAGGAAAUUAGAGUGUUCACGGCAGGCUAUCGCCAGAAUACAUUAGCAUGGAAUAAUAAGAUAGGACUUUGGUCUAUUUUGUUGGUUGCGGCCCAAGGUAAUGAUUAAUAGGGAUGAUUGGGGACAUUCAUAUUGAGGUGGAAGAGGUGAAAUUCUUGGAUUUCCUCAAGAUGAACUGCUGCGAAAGCGUCUGUCUAGGGCGUUUUCAUUAA
rnacentral:rRNA from 1 species